CGGCAACGGUGAAACUUCAAAAGGAAUUGAACGGGGGCCCCGCUCAAGCGGAGGAACAUGUGGUUUAAUUGGAUGAUACGCGAGGAACCUUACCCCGGGCUUGAAUUGCAGGAGAACGAUACAGAGAUGUUGAGGUCCUUCGGGACUCCUGUGAAGGUGCUGCAUGGUUGUCGUCAGCUCGUGCCGUGAGGUGUCGGCUUAAGUGCCAUAACGAGCGCAAACCCCUGUUCUUAGUUGCCAUCAGGUAAUGCUGGGCACUCUGGGAAUACUGCCACCGUAAGGUGUGAGGAAGGUGGGGAUGACGUCAAAUCGGCGCGGCCCUUACGUCCGGGGCUACACACGUGUUACAAUGGCCGGUACAGAGAGUUGGUCGUGCGCAAGUACGGUCUAAUCCAUAAAACCGGUCUCAGUUCGGACUGGGGUCUGCAACCCGACCCCACGAAGCUGGAUUCGCUAGUAAUCGCGCAUCAGCCAUGGCGCGGUGAAUACGUUCCCGGGCCUUGUACACACCGCCCGUCAAGCCAUGAAAGCCGAGGGUGCCUGAAGUCCGUAACCGUUUAGGAGCGCCCUAGGGUAAAACCGGUGAUUGGGGCUAAGUCGUAACAAGGUAACCGUAA
rnacentral:rRNA from 1 species